rnacentral:rRNA from 1 species
AAGUCGGGCCUGCCCACUGAGUAAAAUCAUGGCCGCGGUACUUAGACCCUGCGAAGGGAGCAUAAGCAUAAUUCUUUUAAUUGGAGGCUGGGAGGAACGGUUAGAGGAAAUAUUAACUGUCUCUUUAUAUAGAGUAGAAGUUUUUUUUAGAGUUAAUAGGCUGAAAUGUUAUUAUAGGACGAGAAGACCAUAUAGAGCUUUGUAUAGAUAUAAGAAAUAUGUAUUUGUGGGUAUUUUUUAUUCCUUUUGUAACUAUAUUUUGGUUGGGGGGCAUAAAGAAAAAAGAAACACCUUAUUUAUAUUUACAUUGAUGUAUGGGUUUUUGAUCCAUUUUCAGAGAUUAAAAGAAAAAAUUACCUUAAGGAUAACAGCGUUUUCACUUGAAAGUUCAUAUCGAAAGAGGAGUUUGCUACCUCUAUGUUGGAUUAAGAAAAUCAUUAAAUGCAGCAGUUAUGUUGAUAAGUCUGUUCGACUUUAUAAUUCUUAC